rnacentral:lncRNA from 1 species
GAUGCACAAUAGGGUUCUCAAGGAUAAAAGGUCAUGAUAUCAUGAAGGUAAUUUUUCUGUUAUCUUGUUUCGUAGCUUUUGUGCGCGUGAGCUUUUGAAAUGUAUAUGGCUUAUCAUUUAGUUGGUCAAAUCAUAUUAGUAUCUGGAAAACAUACGUAGAUAUUCUGAUUUUAGUUAGUUACUAUCAAAUCCAAGGGUAGAUAACUUGUUAAGACUCAUGAUGCAUGUAAGCUAUUUUAAAGUAGAUUUUAGUGUCAUAAAAAUUGUCUCUUUAUUGCAAAUUCAAUAUGAAACUACGACUUUUUUUUCAAGUGUCCUUAAUUGUGAUCUAAUAAGGAGUUGUGAAACUCACUUUUACUCUUUAUUUUCUCCAAAUACGUUACAACUCCCAUCUCCUAGUUGGACAGCUUGUUGAAACUCUAGCUGAAAUUGAAUUUCAAGCACCAAUUAUCAAGGAGAUUUCACCAUAUUUUACGAGCCUUUAUUAUUCAUUUUCUUGAUUUCCACUUACAUUUUAUAUGUGUUUGUGAUGCUAACUAAUUUUAUGACAAUCAAAUGUUGACAACUCUGAUUCAAGUCUUGGGUACAAGCUCACAAAACUCUAAAAUUUAUUAACAAUUGUAUAUUACUAAAAGAAAUGAAAGAAUUUUUACUUUUGUCAGAAAAUUCAAGUGAACUAACUUAUGUUCAGAUGAAGAAUCUUGAAAUGGAGAAUGAAAGAGUGGUAAUCCAUGCGUUACAUAUUGAAUACCAUCAAGCAUCAAUCCUGCACUCAACUUAAAGGUCGUGCAAGAACGGUAUCUAGCAAGACAUCACUGCUACCCAAGUGACGAGAAUGUCAUGUGAUCUGACGAAACCUUUAUGUGAUAAUGAUUAUAUGUAUAAUUACCCUUUUGCCCUCAUGUCUAUAUUGAACACAAGGCAUAGACCAUGUCAUCCUUGUCUAGUUCAAUAUUGGGCCCGUAGACAUUUCUCCUGUUACGUAGGAGGGGCGAAUUCCAUCUAGGUCACUCAUGUCCCUCAUCAUGAUUUAUGGAGUACCCAUCAACCAACUUUAUAGUCAUCCUGUUACGGACAACGUUUGAAUGGUGACAAAGCACUCGACUCCAACAUCUAGGGUACAUAGUGGUUUCAGGUCGAAGGGUGGAAUACACCACUAUCACUAUGAGAAUAUCUUAUGACACUUUUCAUAACUUUUACUAUGUAGUAUUCUCAUGGCGGAUCAAUCCAAUAUAAAUAUUACUCCUAAUAUUUAUAUCUAUGUGAAGUCUUGAUAACUCUUUAUCCAUGAUCUGUGAGAUGUGAUCAUCAGUCUACCUACAUAAUAGUCGCUAUGCUUUAAUGAUAUCCCACUUUUCAAUAAAGCUUGACUACGGAUACUUUGAGAAUAGUUUCCUUAUGUUUAAUGGGGUCUCACAAUUAAGUUAUAUUUAAUGUUCCAUUAAAUGGACUAACUAUUCUAAGGACUUUAUUAUUUUGAAACAAAACAAAAUCAAUAAAGAAAUGUCUUGUUAUUAUAUAUUCACAAUAUAUAUUUGUAUCAAUAUGAUACAAAGCCAAACCCAAUCAAUAUAGAUUGACUAUUAGGGCUUAUUCCAACAAUAAAGUAUUACCCUUUUAAUUGCACUAUUUAUGGUUCUUAAGAUAGAUGUUGACAAAGGGUGAAUAAGAUGGAUGCAAGAUAGAUGUGCACAUUGUAACAGCUAAAUAGACCAUGUUUAGUUAAAUAAAUAUUGUUUCUUUUUCAGCUUACCAUAAUAAUAGUCAGCCAUAGUGAUUCAUCACCGUCUCUUUGAACUUCUAAUGAAUGUUGUUUUGUUCUUUUAUGGACAUAUCGCCGUAAAAUUUGUCUUUAACAGACUUUUAAAAAAACUAACCAAAUAUGUGAUUGACUUAACCAUGUUUUGUCCAUGGUGUAACCACUUUUUAUUUUCAUUCCCAUUUCUUCUCCCUCACUAAUGUUCCACGUGAUUUUUGUGGAAGGAAUACAUUUGGGUACACCAGUGAAUCUUGACUGAUGAGCAUGAGGGAAAGGUGAAUUAUUUUCUAUCUUUGAAAGACUUUUGGAAAACUAACCAAAAUUAGGAUAGACUUAACCAUAUUUUAUCAAAGGUGUAACUACCUUUUAUUUUCUUACUCAUUUUCUAUCUUUGACAUAUUUAAGGAAAACUACCCAAAUUUCUGAUGCAGUUAACCACUCAUUUUCAAAGAUGUAUCCAUUUUUUUUUUUUACCAAUUUGGUCAGGAUGGUGAUGUUCGACUCACUCACCUGCAGUUUGCAGAUGAUACUCUUAUUAUUGGUGAUAAAAGUUUGCAAAAUGUGUGUUCUAUGCGAGCGGUAUUGCUGCUGUUCGAGAGUAUUUCGGGUUUAAAGGUAAAUUUUAACAAAAGUAUGUUGACGGGUGUAAAUAUAUCUGAUUCUUGGUUGUCGGAAGCGGCGUUGGUGUUGAAUUGUAGGAAGGGGACCAUUCCUUUUGUUUAUUUGGGCCUGCCUAUCGGAGGCGACUCUAUGAAAAUUGCUUUUUGAAAACAUGUUGUUGUACCUUUAGAUGUAUGUUUUGCAUUAGGACUUCGUAUAAUUGGUGAAAAGGUGAACUUCAAAAAGGACCCUACAUCCACUACGAAAGCAACGUUUGAUAAUGAAGAAGUUAUACGGUAGUGCACAAUCCAGUUAUGUGGACGAAGGUGUCUUCAAUGAUGAAGGUGUCGACGAGGACGUCUCCAUGGAUGAGAUUGAAAGAGUUAUUAAAAGGGAGAUGGCAAAUGUAUCAUAUGAUGAAGCACAUCAUGUAUCAAAUCUCUUAACUAGAAUUAAGGACAAGCCAGGACACCGUAUAAAAAGUGGGUUUCUGCUUUCCCCAUGGGUGAAGGAUGGACGCAUAAAGAAGAAGAUUUCAAUUAGUGUAGUGUUUUGAUAUGAUUGCAAUGUAGAUGUUUUUUGAUGCUAUUUUUUAUUUAGUAGGACAAUGUCGCACCUAUAAUAUUAAUGGAAACACCAUAUGUUGUUAGUUACUAACAUUGUUGAACUAUCCUACAGUUUAAUGAGUCACUGUACCUGUUAUGUAAUAAAUUUUAUUGGGAGGUUUGUUGUUAUGUUUUAUUCUUUGAUAUAAAAAAUGUUUGUGUCUUUAUUGACAGGUAAAAUCUUGGCAUGUAUAUCUUUUGCAUGAGUCAAAGGGCGACUAAUACCCAUCUUUGAAUGGAUUUGGUGAAAUGUUACCAAACUUAAGUUUGAAAAGGCUUUUAGUUCAGUGAUCAAAUGAGACUAUGUGUUCGAUUCGCGUAAAACAAGAUUAGUUACACCUGAGAAUGAUAAACUAGCCAAAUAUAUGGCAUGUAUGACCAUAAUUUUACAAAUGUGUGACCACUAUUUUUUCAUAAAUUAGAACUUGUUCAUCCUUAAACGUGAUAUACUAGCAGAUUGUAUAACUACUUAUUUCUGGUUGGAAAAGCUUUUAGUGCACUGAUCAAAUCAGAUCAUGUGUUCGAUUCGCGUAAAACGAAAUUAGUGACACCUAUGAAAGAUAAACUAGCCAAAUAUAUGGCAUGUAUGACCAUAAUUUUAUAAAUGCGUGACUACUAUUUUUUCAUAAAUUAGAAUUUGUCCGUCCUUAGGCGUGAUAUACUCGCAUAUUGUAAAACUAAUUAUUUCUGGUUGGAAAGGCUUUUAGUGUAGUGUUCAAAUGAGAUUAUGUUUUCGAUUCGCGUAAAACAGGAUUAGUUACACCUGCGAAUGAUAAACUAGGCAAAUAUAUGGCAUGUAUGACCAUAAAUUUACAAAUGUGUGACCACUAUUUUUUCAUAAAUUAGAACUUGUCCGUCCUUAAGCGUGAUAAACGCGCAUAUUGUAAAACUAAAUAUUUAUGAUUGGAAAGGCUUUUAGUGCAGUCUUCAAAUGAGAUUAUGUGUUCGAUUCGCGUAAAACAGGAUUAGUUACACCUGUGAAUGAUAAACUAGCCAAAUCUAUGGCAUGCAUGACCAUAAUUUUACAAAUGUGUGACCACUAUAUUUUCAUAAAUUAGAACUUGUACGUCCUUAGGCGUGAUAAACGCGCAUAUUGUAAUACUAAUUAUUUAUGGUUGGAAAGGCUUUUAGCGCAGUGAUCAAUUUCAUACAACAAAAAUAUUUUAUAAUAUUUAGACACUUACAAGCUAUUCUAUAUUCCAUUUGCGACAUCUAUAGAUGAUGCUAUAGAAAAUUCAAAGGUGCAAAUAUUCAGGCAACUAUGUGAUUACCUCACAGAGAAUUUGGGUCGAAUUGAGUUUUUAUCCAUACAUGAAUUACAUAUAACCAGUAAAAUCAACAAUAUAACCGUAAUCUGUCAAAGGUGUAGCCAUAUUUUUUUACUGGCUUUAAAAUUGGUUGUCUCUCUACAAGUAUCGACCUCACCUUUCAAAAUAUGAUUACCUUAAUAAUUCAAAGGUGCAAAUAUAGUGACAACAUUGUGAUUAUCUCACUAUGAAUUUGGGUCGAGUCGAUAUUUUAUACACAAGUGAAUUACAUAUAACCAUGAAUUACAUAUAACGAGGAAAAUGAACAAUAUAACCAUAAUUUGUCAAAGGUGUAACCAGGAAAAUCAUUCGUUGUCCUCUUCUUGAAGGACCUUCAGCUUUGAAUGUACACUGUCAAUAUCAAUAACUUCAUUCACAUCAAACAAUGUUCUAACUUGACUAUCACUAUCUAUUGAUUCCGGCAAAGAUUCUCCUAAAAUAGGCAAACCUAGAGCCAAACAAAGGUCUAGAUGUUUAAAGGCCACAGUCCUAACGCCUACUCUAAAUCCUAAGCUACUUGCAUCCCACCUAUGCAAUAAUUCCGUCAAUAAAGUACUAUUCAUUCCUAUAUAGGUCUUCAUUUCCACCAGAUAUCGGAAUGGAGUUUUCAUAACUCUACUCCUUUGCGUAUCAGAUAAUUUUCGAUUAAUAUCUACCAACUUAUUGGUACGGGGCAUUUGAGUGUUUGUCUGUGGCUGAAAAAUGAACAUUAUUCAUUCAUUAAUGGCAUAAAACACAAAUAGUUACAUACAUAUUAAACGUCUCAUUAAUUAAAUUGUACUUACACCAACACCACCAUCCCUUUUCGUUUAUUUUCGUUCAUGAUGUUGACCUUAUCUGUUGUAUACAAAAACAAUUUCUAUCAACAACAAUUAAAACACACAAAUGUCCAAUUCUCAACACACGUCACAAGAACGAUUUGAAAAAAUUCAUCUUAUAACCAAAAUACAAACACAUUUUAUAAUCACAUGUUUUCCACAAAAAUUGAAAAACGUUAUGGAAAUAAUACUGUGACAAGUUAAUGUUUUCCUAUCUUUGUUACCAUAGACAUACUGACAAAAAAUUAUCUGCACAUAACCCCAUAUUUUAACAUAGACGUAACCACAUUUUUUUCCUUCAAAUUUCCAACACUUUGACCAUUUUUUAACAUAAGUGUGACCACAAUUCUUUUGAUUAAGAAUUUGACACCAACUCUACGUGAUAUCAUUUAGAGGAACAACCACAAUCAAACUACAAAAAUUAGGGAAAACUUAUGAUUUUGUACUAACAACAAAACAAUGAUAAUCAUCAACAACCCAAAAAUGCAACAAUCAGACAGUAGCAAAUAACAUAGAUUUUAACUCAAUUAUGAACUAAACAACUAAAUACUAUCAUCAUUUAACCCUAAAUUCUCACUAACUCAGUAUCAUACCCUAAUAUGAUUAAUUUCUUCAUCAUGAUUUUCUAAUUCAACAAUUAUUUUACCCUUCACCAAAUACAAGAUUUGAGAUAAACAUCACCUUUAACGGAGAGAUUCGGCGACGGAAAGAGAGAUGGAGAAACUGAUUCGUACAGAGGAAGGAGGAAGGAGGAAGGAGAUCGAGAGAGCUAAUCAGGGUAUGUAGAGAGAGCUACGGGCCGCCGUCGGACCAAAUGACGGAGAGAGAGCUAUCUGUCGUCGUAGCAAUGGCGGAGAGUGAGAGAUGGAGAUCGCACGUCGCGUGGUGGAGAGAGACGAGAUCUCUGAAACCCUUGGAUUUCUUUUUCUUUUCUAAUUCUUAUAUCUAUUUCUUAUUUCUUUUAAUCUUCAUCAUCAUAUCCUCAAUAACAUUACCCCAACUAUCUGGUGUUUGUGGAAUUAACUCUACACUCCUACUAGUUUACUUAAUAAAGCUCAAUGUGUGGCCUUCUCUUGCAUGGAUGAAGUAUACUUAAUAAAGCCCCAAUGUCCUCACUGGAACCAAGACUAAGAAAAAGAAUAUCUUAGAACUUGUUGCUGAUGUUGGUUCUAACUCUGUACCUACAAGAUCCAAAACACAUAUUCCCUCUAAUAUUUCUCAUUGAAGUCCUUUUUUGGAAUUUUAAUAGUGUGGGGUUUUUUGUUGCUUCACCUCUUUGUGUUUGUGUUCUUUUAAUAUAGCAUGGUUCUAUCCUUAGUAGCAGUGUGAGUUAGGCUAUUUAGGAAGUGUCUUUGCUUUUCUUAUGGUCUUUUAUGUUUAAUUGGGUAUUGCCUUAAUCCCCCCAAUUUUGUACUUUUCCUUUUUUCUUCUAAUGCAUUUUUCUAGCUUUAUCAAAAAAAAAUUCUUAUUUCUUUUUCUUUUUCUUUUUCAAUUUAAAGAUCAAUUUUUUUAAAAUAUUUAUUGCCAUGUCAUAGGCGGUAUAAAGGGGUGUAUGAAAUUGGUAUGUCCAUGUAUCUUUUUCCUUUAUUUAUAGAGAAAACUAGAUGGGCUUAUUAUAUUAUGCUAUCCCAACCGUUGAUUUGUGGUUCAAUAGCUGUCAAUUAAUUUGUAAAAACAAAGAAUGUUAAUUAAAUGUGAAAUCCCGAUAGAAAAAGUGUAUAUAUCUUUUUUUUUUUUCUUUCACGAAGACAAUAGAUCUGAUUGUUUGUUUAGUUAUUGAUUAUUUUUUUCUUGAGUGCAAAAAAUGUUAUAAUACUUUUUGUAUCUUUACAAAAAAUUUAGCUUUUGUUUUUGUUAUGUAAGACGAUUUUUUAUUUUAUUUUAUGAAUAACACAUAUAGAACCAUUGUGAUGAAAACAAAAUAUUCUUAACCUGAAUUGAACCCUUCUCGUUAAACCUUCAUUCAACUCAAUGCACUAUGAUUGAAGGAACUAUGUUCACGUGGGCUGACUAGAGAUGAGGUCAAUCGUGUAGUGCUUGUGAUCCCUCUCUAAGUUCGACUUCAAAGGUUAUAUGUGCUACAAGAGGUAAUCAUUUAAUCCCUGAUCACGACCAUCCCUAAGGAUUUAUCAAAAUGGAAAAUAAAUUGGUUAUUCAAUGUGUUUAAUCUGGGUUUUUUGAAUGUGAUAUCCCUUCAGUUACCCCAGUACCACAAAUGAAAAUAGACAUGCUGUUGGGAAUGACAUGGUUGUCGUGCACUGGGUGUAUGUGGUUUUACUAGAAUGAAAGGCUCGUCUUUUCAAUUAUCGAGAUGAACCGGUCGAUAUUAGGGGAAUCAAGGAAGUUUUGGAAGCUUUGUACUCACUUCAAGAUUAUAUGUGAGUGGUAAACGCUACACUUGGUAGGAUAAAGAAAAAUGUUAUCAGGGACUGCACCAAUUGGAGGCCUAACCAUCUCAAGUUCAAGACUUAGGGCAUCUUAUCAGAGAGUUUGAGGAAUCGAGGUGGUGAAUGUAUGUCCAUAGUUCUUUCUCUAGUCCAAACAUACUAGUAAAAAAGAAUGAUUGUUUGUGGAGAAUGUGUGUUGAGAAACGAACCCUAAUAUCUAGGAUCUAAACUAGAAAUAGAAAAUAAACUAACCUCAAAAAUAAAAUAAAAAAUCAAAAUUAAACAAAACAUAACAGAAAAUAAAAAAACAAAAAUUAAAACAGAAAUUCAAACUUACCUAACCUAACUUAAUUAUUCAUAAAAAUAAAUUUUAACCAUUACAUUGCUGAAAUAUCAACAAUCUUCGGCAACAGCGCCAACAACUUUAUGGAAAAUUUAGGCAAGUACAUUCAAUCGUACCAAAUAAUAAAGUAGUAAGUUAAUUGUCUUCACAUGGAUUGUCCUUCAAUUUGGUAAUUAGCGGAAUCUAUUUAGACAAGCAAAUAAAAGAAAAGUUUUGAAGGGAUUGCAAGGUUUUAAUUGCAUGCCCAAUACGAGAUUAGGUUUGGUUGAUUCAAUUGUUUAACAACAAUUAAGGAAUCCUUGAAUACCCACUUUUGUCAUUGUUGGAAAUUAAAUAUAGAAAUCAUUAGGUUAUAACUUGUCUUAUGUUUGGAUUUAAGAAAGUAAAACAUAACUCAAUGAUGAAUAAGUGAAAAUUUACUUUAAUCUUCCCAAUUCAACCAUUUACAAUUGUGGGGUUCCCUUAAAAUGAGUUAUAGCCCUAAAAUCAUACUUAGUUCAAUUAUAUUAGAAAUUAAGCAAUUCACUACUCCCUUGUGUGAAUGGAGGCGAAGGUUGUCGAUCCUAUUAUUGCUCCAUCUAAGUAACGGUAUAGAAACACACAUAUACAAACUAAAUUAGACUUUCGAUUAUAAACAACAUAAAAACUUUAUUAAAAGAAUCCAACAAAUAAGAAGGGCUUCAUCAUGGAACCCUAAUCAAAGAGGAUUAGUUUAUCAUGGCAACCGACAUCAUUACAAAACAAUAGAAAAAGAUACUCUAGAGAGAACAAAAUGAGGACGGAGAUCCUCUGUGUAACACCCCGUUUUCCCAAUAUACGAAUUUCUUUAAAAGCAUAACAUUUAUCAGAGUAAGCAUCAUAAACAACGGGAUAUCACAUAAAACGUAAUCCAAAACAGUUAAAUAAUAAUUUAACCAAAAGUCGUAAACAUUGCAGCGGAAUUUAGUUCAUAAUCCAUAAAUCAGUUUGGCACGUAGGCCCCAUCAAAAUAGUUCAUAUUCCAUAACAUAAUAGAAAUAACAUAUUAUCCACGUAAAAGAAUGAAGC